GGAGAUAUCGCCAAGUGGUUAAGGCAUUGGUCUGCAAAACCAAUAUCAUCGGUUCAAAUCCGAUUAUCUCCU
rnacentral:tRNA from 2 species